AACGAACGCUGGCGGCAUGCCUAACACAUGCAAGUCGAACGAGAUCUUCGGGUCUAGUGGCGCACGAGUGCGUAACGCGUGGGAAUCUGCCCUUUGGUUCGGAAUAACAGUUGGAAACGACUACUAAUACCGGAUGAUGACGAAAGUCCAAAGAUUUAUGGCCAGAGGAUGAGCCCGCGUAGGAUUAGCUAGUGGGUGUGGUAAAGGCGCACCAAGGGGACGAUCCUUGGCUGGUCUGAGAGGAUGAUCAGCCACACUGGGACUGAGACACGGCCCAGACUCCUACGGGAGGCAGCAGUGGGGAAUAUUGGACAAUGGGCGAAAGCCUGAUCCAGCAAUGCCGCGUGAGUGAUGAAGGCCUUAGGGUUGUAAAGCUCUUUUACCCGGGAUGAUAAUGACAGUACCGGGAGAAUAAGCUCCGGCUAACUCCGUGCCAGCCGCCGCAGUAA
rnacentral:rRNA from 1 species